AUGCUCCUGUAACUCAUGUUCUAAACUUUAAAGUGGUGCCAUGAAGUAAUCUGCGUCUUUUAGGUUUAAUCUGCGUAUUUUAGGUGUAAUCUGUGUAGUUCGGGUGGUGCCAUGAUGUAAUCUGUGCGUUUUAGGUGUAAUAUGCAUGCUUUAGGUGUAAUCUGCGCGUCUCAGGUGUAAUCUGCGUGUUUUAGGUGUAAUCUGCGUGUUUUAGGUGUACUCUGCGUGUUUCAGGUGUAAUCUGCGUGUUUCAGGUG